GAGGGUAGAGCUCAGCGGUAGAGCGUGUGCUUAGCAUGCACAAGGUCCUGGGUUCAAUCCCCAGUACCUCUG
rnacentral:tRNA from 1 species